AAGGGAAGGGAAGGGAAGGGAAGGCGCAGGGAGGCGCUGGAAAGCGCUCUCCCGGGACUGACCCGAGCCCCACAAACCCUUUAUAUACCCCCAGCCUGGGUUGGGGCUCUGCCAUGUCACAAUGGACUUUGGGCAUCACAAGGUCCCGCAUCACCGAGGGCCCUGACGCACCGUGCCUGUGUCAUAGAGGCCACCCCGGCACCCCGUGCCUGUGUCACAAAGGCCACCCCGGCAACCCGUGCCUGUGUCACAAAGGCCACCCCAGCACCCCGUGCCUGUGUCACAAAGACCACCCCGGCACCCCUCCAACAGCCCGAGUCACCGGGAGCGGCCUGGAGCAGCCCCGGUCUUGGGGGAUUGCUGCCCCUUCUUCUGAGCCGCUCCUUCAAAUGAUCAGGAGCGGCUGGGGCCGAGUGAAGAUCACUCCAAUAUAUCUCUCUAGUGCACCACUAACUGUGAAGACCUUAAUGUGGAAUAUGUUUGCAGUUUUGGGUGCUGCCCUCAGGAAUGAGGUGAAACCAACGUCUUUGGAAACUUUGGAAGGAACAAAUGAAAGGAUUAGGCUCCUGAAAAAGGAAUGUUGAGUUCCAAAGGUCUUUAAUUCCACCUUCUGCUGAGCAAGAACUGAGUGUGGUGUUGCACUAAGCCAGGCGUUAUGUUUGCACUGAAGUGUUUUUUCCCUGUUGCUCAUCCCUGGGUGUGUGGUGUUGCAUGCCUCCCCUCGCUCUUCCCCUUCCAUUUCAUUGAAGUUGGAAUCCUGCUUUCUCCCUCCCUUUGGCCUCCCAGUUUAAAAACCCCCGCCAUUUCUCCCUCUGUCUCUUUUUUCCCCGGAAUUCAUUCCAAGAAUAAACUGGACAGCAUCCUGGAGAAAAGAGCCUCCUCUGUCUUUUAUCUUGGCCUUUUUGCACCUCCUUCUUGAACCAGUUUUAGAAUGGCAUUGUUGGAAUUACUACUUUCCUCCUGCCUUUUGGCCAGUAAAGGAGAGAUUGGUUGUUGCA